CUGCCUGAAGAAGCUGGCCUUAGCUUUCCUGACUGACUGCGUGUAUUGGUUCCGGACUUCCCUGAACAGUUGCAUAUCCCGGGGACUAUUCGAUGCUAUUGCAGUCCGCCACAGGAUGUUUUUGUGCUGGUCGAGGGCAGUCAGGUCUGGGGUGAACCAAGGACUGUAUCUGUUCUUAGUUCUGCAUUUUUUGAACGGAGCAUGCUUAUCUAAAAUGGUGAGGAAGUUACUUUAAAGAAUGACCAGGCAUCCUCAACUGACGGGAUGAGGUCAAUGUCCUUCCAGGAUACCCGGGCCAGGUCGAUUAGAAAGGCCUGCUCACAGAAGUGUUUUAGGGAGCGUUUGACAGUGAUGAGGGGUGGUCGUUUGACUGCGGCUCCGUAGCGGAUACAGGAAAUGUGAACUAGAACAAUGAUAACUAACCUGAGCAACAGUAUACAAGGCAUAUUGACAUUUGAGAGAGACAUACAGCGAGGCAUACAGUAAUCACAGGUGUUGAAUUGGGAAAGCUAGCUAAAACAGUAGGUGAGACAACAGCUAAUCAGCUAGCACAACAACAGCAGGUAAAAUGGCGUUGACUAGGCAACGGGGCCGACAGAUAAAACAUAAACAAGCAGAAUGGAGUACCGUGAUUAAUGGACAGUCCAGAGUGCAUCAGCUAUGUAGCCAAGAGAUCAGUGUCCAGAUAUCAAUCACCUUAGCUUUUCUAAUCAGUAGAUAUUAGCUGAGUGUCCAAAGAGACACCAGUUUGUACCGCUAUCAAAUCUAUCAUGAAGAGAAGCUACAGAUUCCCUCAAAACAGUUCAGAAACCUGUGAAACUGCCAAAAAUGGACAUGAUGGCCAAAUACUGUAUUUCCAUUAUGUUUGUAAUUGUUUUGUAUUGAACUUUUACAGAUACAUUGCAAAUCAAAACAGACUAUUUGACAUCAAUGAUAACAGCUUGAAGUACUACUCAAAUCUCAGAAAUCUAACUGUGACAAAUACCAGAUUGACUUCUAUCUCAUCACAGGCCUUUUUCAACAAUACAAGACUUCAAUAUCUGUAAGUACUGUAUAGUCUUUGAUUCAUUUUCUGUUUGGUGUUGUUCUUAUCUUUCUCCUCACAGAU
rnacentral:lncRNA from 1 species